rnacentral:rRNA from 1 species
CCAGACUCCUACGGGAGGCAGCAGUGGGGAAUAUUGCGCAAUGGGCGAAAGCCUGACGCAGCGACGCCGCGUGAGGGAUGAAGGUCUUCGGUAUGUAAAGCUCUAUCAGCAGGGAAGAAGAUGACGGUACCUGACUAAGAAGCCCCGGCUAACUACGUGCCAGCAGCCGCGGUAAUACGUAUGGUGCAAGCGUUAUCCGGAAUGACUGGGUGUAAAGGGAGCGUAGACGGUUGUACAAGUCUGAUGUGAAAGCCCACGGCUCAACUGUGGGAGUGCAUUGGAAACUGUAGAACUAGAGUAUCGGAGAGGCAAGUGGAAUUCCUAGUGUAGCGGUGAAAUGCGUAGAUAUUAGGAGGAACACCAGUGGCGAAGGCGGCUUGCUGGACGAAAACUGACGUUGAGGCUCGAAAGCGUGGGGAGCAAACAGGAUUAGAUACCCUGGUA